rnacentral:rRNA from 1 species
UNUGACUUGAGUGCAGAAGGGGAGAGUGGAAUUCCAUGUGUAGCGGUGAAAUGCGUAGAUAUAUGGAGGAACACCAGUGGCGAAAGCGGCUCUCUGGUCUGUCACUGACGCUGAGGCUCGAAAGCGUGGGUAGCGAACAGGAUUAGAUACCCUGGUAGUCCACGCCGUAAACGAUGAGUGCUAGGUGUUAGGCCCUUUCCGGGGCUUAGUGCCGGAGCUAACGCAAUAAGCACUCCGCCUGGGGAGUACGACCGCAAGGUUGAAACUCAAAGGAAUUGACGGGGGCCCGCACAAGCGGUGGAGCAUGUGGUUUAAUUCGAAGCAACGCGAAGAACCUUACCAGGUCUUGACAUCCCGAUGCUAUUCUUAGAGAUAGGAAGUUACUUCGGUACAUCGGAGACAGGUGGUGCAUGGUUGUCGUCAGCUCGUGUCGUGAGAUGUUGGGUUAAGUCCCGCAACGAGCGCAACCCUUAUUGUUAGUUGCCAUCAUUAAGUUGGGCACUCUAGCGAGACUGCCGGUAAUAAACCGGAGGAAGGUGGGGAUGACGUCAAAUCAUCAUGCCCCUUAUGACCUGGGCUACACACGUGCUACAAUGGUCGGUACAACGAGUUGCGAGCCGGUGGCGGCAAGCUAAUCUCUGAAAGCCGAUCUCAGUUCGGAUUGGAGGCUGCAACUCGCCUCCAUGAAGUCGGAAUCGCUAGUAAUCGCGGAUCAGCACGCCGCGGUGAAUACGUUCCCGGGCCUUGUACACGCCGCCCGUCACACCACGAGAGUUUGUAACACCCGAAGUCGGUGAGGUANCCUUUUAGGGGCCA